CCCCAGUAACGGCGAGUGAAGCGGCAACAGCUCAAAUUUGAAAUCUGGCUCUCGGGCCCGAGUUGUAAUUUGUAGAGGAUGCUUUUGGUGAGGUGCCUUCCGAGUUCCCUGGAACGGGACGCCAUAGAGGGUGAGAGCCCCGUCUGGUUGGACGCCGAACCUCUGUAAAGCUCCUUCGACGAGUCGAGUAGUUUGGGAAUGCUGCUCUAAAUGGGAGGUAUAUGUCUUCUAAAGCUAAAUACCGGCCAGAGACCGAUAGCGCACAAGUAGAGUGAUCGAAAGAUGAAAAGAACUUUGAAAAGAGAGUUAAAAAGUACGUGAAAUUGUUGAAAGGGAAGCGCUUGUGACCAGACUUGGGCUUGGUUGAUCAUCCGGGGUUCUCCCCGGUGCACUCUUCCGGCCCAGGCCAGCAUCAGUUCGCCCUGGGGGACAAAGGCUUCGGGAACGUGGCUCUCUCCGGGGAGUGUUAUAGCCCGUUGCGUAAUACCCUGUGGCGGACUGAGGUUCGCGCAUUCGCAAGGAUGCUGGCGUAAUGGUCAUCAACGACCCGUCUUGAAACACGG
rnacentral:rRNA from 2 species